rnacentral:rRNA from 1 species
UACGAAGGGGGCUAGCGUUGUUCGGAAUUACUGGGCGUAAAAGCGCACGUAGGCGGAUCGAUCAGUCAGGGGUGAAAUCCCAGGGCUCAACCCUGGAACUGCCUUUGAUACUGUCGAUCUGGAGUAUGGAAGAGGUGAGUGGAAUUCCGAGUGUAGAGGUGAAAUUCGUAGAUAUUCGGAGGAACACCAGUGGCGAAGGCGGCUCACUGGUCCAUUACUGACGCUGAGGUGCGAAAGCGUGGGGAGCAAACAGG